rnacentral:rRNA from 1 species
UACGAAGGGGGCUAGCGUUGCUCGGAAUCACUGGGCGUAAAGGGUGCGUAGGCGGGUCUUUAAGUCAGGGGUGAAAUCCUGGAGCUCAACUCCAGAACUGCCUUUGAUACUGAGGAUCUUGAGUUCGGGAGAGGUGAGUGGAACUGCGAGUGUAGAGGUGAAAUUCGUAGAUAUUCGCAAGAACACCUAUGGCGAAGGCAGCUCUCUGGGACGGUACUGACGCUGAGACGCGAAAGCGUGGGGAGCGAACAGG